rnacentral:rRNA from 1 species
AUUGAACGCUGGCGGCAGGCCUAACACAUGCAAGUCGAACGGUAGCACAGAGAGCUUGCUCUCGGGUGACGAGUGGCGGACGGGUGAGUAAUGUCUGGGAAACUGCCCGAUGGAGGGGGAUAACUACUGGAAACGGUAGCUAAUACCGCAUAACGUCGCAAGACCAAAGUGGGGGACCUUCGGGCCUCACACCAUCGGAUGUGCCCAGAUGGGAUUAGCUAGUAGGUGGGUAAUGGCUCACCUAGGCGACGAUCCCUAGCUGGUCUGAGAGGAUGACCAGCCACACUGGAACUGAGACACGGUCCAGACUCCUACGGGAGGCAGCAGUGGGGAAUAUUGCACAAUGGGCGCAAGCCUGAUGCAGCCAUGCCGCGUGUAUGAAGAAGGCCUUCGGGUUGUAAAGUACUUUCAGCGGGGAGGAAGGCGGUGAAGUUAAUAACUUCACCGAUUGACGUUACCCGCAGAAGAAGCACCGGCUAACUCCGUGCCAGCCGCCGCUGUAACAC